rnacentral:lncRNA from 10 species
AGUCAGCAGCCAUCAACAUCAAGCCCAUACCAUUCACCAGCAAAUAAUUAUAAUUUUCUGAAGCACAGAUCAUCCCUAGCAUUUUUUUAGCAAUAAAUUAUUUUUGAUUAAGGUAUGUAUAUAGUUUCCUUUUCUUUUUUUUUUUUUUUUUUUGAGACAGAGUCUUGCUCUGUCGCCCAAGCUGUAGUGCAGUGGUGCGAUCUCGGCUCACUGCAAGCUCUGCCUCCCAGGUUCAUGCCAUUCUCCCGUCUCAGCCUCCCGAGUAGCUGGGACUACAGGUACCCGCCACCACGCCUGGCUAAUUUUGUUUUUGUAUUUUUAGUAGAGACAGGGUUUCACCGUGUCAGCCAGGAAGGCCUCGAUCUCCUGACCUCAUGAUCUGCCCGCUUUGGCCUCCUAAAGUGCUGGGAUUACAGGCGUGAGCCUAUUGCACACUUAAUAGACUACAGAAUAGUGUAAACAUACCUUUUAUACGAGAAAACAAAUAAAAAAUAUGAUUUGCUUUAUUGAAGUAUUUGCUUUGUUGCAGUGGUCUGGAACUAAACACACAGUAUCUUCAAGGUAGGCCUGUAUGGGUGACAUCAGUGAGUUUUUAAAUCCUUUUAUGUUGUAAAAAUACCUUGAGGGAAAGAAACUACUUUAAUUGUUUUGCACUUAAAAGUACUUUUAAAAGUGGACCUUAAUGAUUCAGAAUUAUUGCAAGAUAUUUUGACUACAGAAAGCAAAAUUCUGAUUAAUUAUAAAUGCAAACAUAGCAGGAAGAAUUUUCAAUUGUACCAGAUUUGCUUGUCUGAUUAUAUAAAGGGAAAGUCAGUGAAGCUAACUGUUUUAAACCAGAAGUAUACAGCUGGUGCCUCAUGGGUUGUAUCAAAUGAGCAGAUGU